rnacentral:tRNA from 1 species
GGCUCAGUGGUUGUAUGAUUCUCGCUUUGGGUGCGAGAGGCCACGGGUUCGAUUCCCGUCUGAGCCC